GAUGAACGCUGGCGGCGUGCCUAAUACAUGCAAGUCGAACGCACAGCGAAAGGUGCUUGCACCUUUCAAGUGAGUGGCGAACGGGUGAGUAACACGUGGACAACCUGCCUCAAGGCUGGGGAUAACAUUUGGAAACAGAUGCUAAUACCGAAUAAAACUCAGUGUCGCAUGACACAAAGUUAAAAGGCGCUUUGGCGUCACCUAGAGAUGGAUCCGCGGUGCAUUAGUUAGUUGGUGGGGUAAAGGCCUACCAAGACAAUGAUGCAUAGCCGAGUUGAGAGACUGAUCGGACAAAUUGGGACUGAGACACGGCCCAAACUCCUACGGGAGGCUGCAGUAGGGAAUCUUCCACAAUGGGCGAAAGCCUGAUGGAGCAACGCCGCGUGUGUGAUGAAGGCUUUCGGGUCGUAAAGCACUGUUGUAUGGGAAGAACAGCUAGAAUAGGGAAUGAUUUUAGUUUGACGGUACCAUACCAGAAAGGGACGGCUAAAUACGUGCCAGCCGCCGCCGUAA
rnacentral:rRNA from 1 species